rnacentral:rRNA from 1 species
CUGCAGUCGAGGGGUAUAGUUCUUCGGAUUAGAGACCGGCGCACGGGUGCGUAACGCGUAUGCAAUCUACCUUUCACAGAGGGAUAGCCCAGAGAAAUUUGGAUUAAUACCUCAUAGUAUGCAGAGUUGGCAUCAAUACUGCAUUAAAGUCACAACGGUGAAAGAUGAGCAUGCGUCCCAUUAGCUAGUUGGUAAGGUAACGGCUUACCAAGGCUACGAUGGGUAGGGGUCCUGAGAGGGAGAUCCCCCACACUGGUACUGAGACACGGACCAGACUCCUACGGGAGGCAGCAGUGAGGAAUAUUGGACAAUGGGCGCAAGCCUGAUCCAGCCAUGCCGCGUGCAGGAUGACGGUCCUAUGGAUUGUAAACUGCUUUUGCACAGGAAGAAACAACUCUACGUGUAGAGUCUUGACGGUACUGUGAGAAUAAGGAUCGGCUAACUCCGUGCCAGCAGCCGCGGUAAUACGGAGGAUCCAAGCGUUAUCCGGAAUCAUUGGGUUUAAAGGGUCCGUAGGCGGUUUAGUAAGUCAGUGGUGAAAGCCCAUCGCUCAACGGUGGAACGGCCAUUGAUACUGCUAGACUUGAAUUAUUAGGAAGUAACUAGAAUAUGUAGUGUAGCGGUGAAAUGCUUAGAGAUUACAUGGAAUACCAAUUGCGAAGGCAGGUUACUACUAAUGGAUUGACGCUGAUGGACGAAAGCGUGGGUAGCGAACAGGAUUAGAUACCCUGGUAGUCCACGCCGUAAACGAUGGAUACUAGCUGUUGGGAGCGAUCUC